AUUGAACGCUGACGGCAUGCUUUACACAUGCAAGUCGAACGGUAACAGGCCGCAAGGUGCUGACGAGUGGCGAACGGGUGAGUAAUGCAUCGGAACGUGCCCAGUCGUGGGGGAUAACUACUCGAAAGAGUAGCUAAUACCGCAUACGAUCUAUGGAUGAAAGCGGGGGACCGUAAGGCCUCGCGCGAUUGGAGCGGCCGAUGUCAGAUUAGGUAGUUGGUGGGGUAAAGGCUCACCAAGCCAACGAUCUGUAGCUGGUCUGAGAGGACAACCAGCCACACUGGGACUGAGACACGGCCCAGACUCCUACGGGAGGCAGCAGUGGGGAAUUUUGGACAAUGGGCGCAAGCCUGAUCCAGCAAUGCCGCGUGCAGGAAGAAGGCCUUCGGGUUGUAAACUGCUUUUGUACGGAACGAAACGGCUCUGGUUAAUAUCCGGGGCUAAUGACGGUACCGUAAGAAUAAGCACCGGCUAACUACGUG
rnacentral:rRNA from 1 species